AUGUGUUCACUGCUUAGUGUGAAGCGGACACGCAGGGAACCCAUCUUACCUGGGCUUCUGGCUGAACUUGCAUUUGCAUUUCCCACCUGUUGGGGGAGAAGGAACGGUUUGGGGGAGGGGACCCACAGCGCUGCCCUGCCAGCGGGCCACCAGGGUCCCCACUCACUCAUGAGGACGAUGAUGCCGAUGGUGCACAGAACCGCGGCACAGAUGAGCCCACCGAUCCGGAGCCUCUGCCAGUCUAGGAGAAACCCAGAGGAGGCGAUCGAUGCCUGCCUGUGUCCUCCCCAGCCCAACCUCCCUCCAUUCGACAGCUUCUCGUGGAAGACACAGCCUGAUCCGACCUGCGCUUGGAGAUUCCCACUUGGCAGCAGUGGCUGGAGGAGCAGGGCCAUGUCCUGCCUGGUUUGAGGCUUCAUGGGAGGGAAUGGGAGACAGGGACACCCACCUCCCAUCUCACACCUGCAUCUGCCUUCGGGGCCACGGUUACGGGGCAGACCCUGGACGGCCGCGGCCCAGGAUGGAUGGGGCAUGGUUUACACAGGAAAGACCCCAGGCCUGUCACCCCGACUCUGCCCACAGCGACGGGGAAAGGCUCAGUUAAGGAAAAGCUUGGUUGUGUUUUGUGACCCCCUCCCAAAGAGGCAUUGACAGCGACUGCCCGUGGAGAAGAUCGAAUCCUUCACAGUGCCCACCUGCCCAAAGACAGGCAGGAGAAGAUGUCUGAGAGGCAAGACACUCGGGGAAAAAAAUAAUAACUGGGACACAGAUACAUGGAGCAAAAGCAGAUGAGGGAAAAUAGUAAGAAUCGAUGGAUCUUCAUAAGGAGUGUUUGAGUUCGUUGUACUCUUAAAAAAUUUUUUUAUUUAUUCAUUUGAUAGAGAGAGUGCGAGAGAGCACAAUCCAGGGGGAGAGGCCGAGGGAGAGGGAGACGCCCACUCCCCCCACUGCCCGAGCAGGGAGCUGGAUGUGGGGCUCGACCCCAGGACCCCGGGAUCAUGACCCGAGCCCAAGGCAGACGCUUCAUCCGCUGAGCCACUCGGGCGCCCCUCGUUGUGCUCUCUAUGUAACUUUCCUGGCGUGACAAAAAUUCAAGAUCAAAGUUGGCGAAGAUAAAUAAAAAUUCUUAAAUUGAGGUUAACA
rnacentral:lncRNA from 1 species